rnacentral:rRNA from 1 species
AGCGAACGCUGGCGGCAGGCUUAACACAUGCAAGUCGAACGGGCGUAGCAAUACGUCAGUGGCAGACGGGUGAGUAACGCGUGGGAACGUACCUUUUGGUUCGGAACAACCCAGGGAAACUUGGGCUAAUACCGGAUAAGCCCUUACGGGGAAAGAUUUAUCGCCGAAAGAUCGGCCCGCGUCUGAUUAGCUUGUUGGUGAGGUAACGGCUCACCAAGGCGACGAUCAGUAGCUGGUCUGGAGAGGAUGAUCAGCCACAUUGGGACUGAGACACGGCCCAAACUCCUACGGGAGGCAGCAGUGGGGAUAUUGGACAAUGGGCGCAAGCCUGAUCCAGCCAUGCCGCGUGAGUGAUG